GGAUUUCAAUAUAUUAAUGAGAAGACGGUUAACACUCGGGUGAAUGAUGACACUAUUCUCACGGAUAUUGUUGGGUGCAUAACAGAAAUUGGUGAUUUGGAAACUGUUGGUGGGAGUUACACAAAAAGGGAUCUUGAAAUUAUAUCGGAUUACUCGGUUACUUGCAAAGUUACACUGUGGGGGGAACUUGGUGAGAAAUUUAUGGACGAACACCCGAUUGACAAUGGGAACUGCCCUUUGAUUAUUAUCGUUACCUCAAUACGCAUUAAAAAGUUUCGAGUGUCAUCAAUUUCUCAACAUCAAGUGCAAGCAAAAUAUAUGUUAAUCUUCCCGACGAGUAUAUGUCGUCUUUGAUUAGUAGGUUUGCAAGUGUAUGUCCUCGAGUGAAACUUAUGGACCCGGUUUGUGUGGUACCAAAAACAACUGAGGAGGAGAUGUUUGAUAAUAGAACGAGUAUCGAACAAUUGCUAAGGGCUGAUUGGAAAAACGAAUCUAAGGGAUAUUCUAUAACUAUCAUGGGUGUCAUUGACAAAUUUGAAACUCAUUACGGUUGGUUUUACUUAGCCUGCAAAGGAUGUUGCAGAAGGGUUACACCAGUUGAUGGUUUUUAUAAAUGUGGCCCUUGUGAUAUUGAAUCAGACGUCACUCUUACAUUGUUAGUGUCCGUUCUUUAAGAUUUCUAAUGUUCAAAGUCCAUGUAUUUGCUAACAAUUUUUUUUGUUGUAAGGUACAAGCUGCAUUUUGUUGUUAAAGACGAAUAGAUCCCGAGCCUAAGCCGGAGUCAAUUUACCGUCUACUA